UACGGAGGGUCCAAGCGUUAUCCGGAUUUAUUGGGUUUAAAGGGUGCGUAGGCGGUUUGAUAAGUUAGAGGUGAAAGCCCGUAGCUCAACUACGGAACUGCCUCUGAUACUGUCAGGCUAGAGAAUGGUUGCUGUGGGCGGAAUGUGUCAUGUAGCGGUGAAAUGCAUAGAGAUGACACAGAACGCCGAUUGCGAAGGCAGCACACUAAGUCAUUAUUGACGCUGAGGCACGAAAGUGUGGGGAUCAAACAGGA
rnacentral:rRNA from 1 species